GCAGGAGUGGUGAAACUGGCAGACACGCUAGACUUAGGAUCUAGUGCUUUUAGCUUGUGGGUUCGAGUCCCACCUUCUGCA
rnacentral:tRNA from 1 species